rnacentral:rRNA from 1 species
UACGGAGGGGGCUAGCGUUAUUCGGAAUUACUGGGCGUAAAGCGUGCGCAGGCGGUUAUGUAAGACAGGUGUGAAAUCCCAGGGCUUAACCUUGGAACUGCAUUUGUGACUGCAUAGCUAGAGUACGGUAGAGGGGGAUGGAAUUCCGCGUGUAGCAGUGAAAUGCGUAGAUAUGCGGAGGAACACCGAUGGCGAAGGCAAUCCCCUGGACCUGUACUGACGCUCAUGCACGAAAGCGUGGGGAGCGAACGGG